CCUACGGGUGGCAGCAGUAGGGAAUUUUCGUCAAUGGGCGCAAGCCUGAACGAGCGAUGCCGCGUGAGUGAAGAAGGCCUUCGGGUCGUAAAGCUCUGUUGCGGGGGAAAAAAGGCAGCAUCAGGAAAUGGGUGCUGACUGAUGGUGCCCCGCCAGAAAGUCACGGCUAACUACGAGCCAGCAGCCGCGGUAAUACGUAGGUGGCGAGCGGUAUCCGGAAGGAUUGGGCGUAAAGGGUGCGCAGGCGGUCCUGCAAGUCUGGAGUGAAGAGCAUGAGCUCAACUCAUGCAUGGCUUUGGAAAAUGGAGGACUGGAGAGCAGGAGAGGGCGGUAGAACGCGAGGUGUAGCGGUAAAAUGCGGAGAGAUAUGGAGGAACAGCAGGGGCGAAGGCGGCCGCCUGGCCUGUUGCGGACGCUGAGGCACGAAAGCGUGGGGAGCAAAUAGGAUUAGAGACCCUUGUAGUC
rnacentral:rRNA from 1 species